GACGAACGCUGGCGGCGUGCUUAACACAUGCAAGUCGAACGGAAAGGCCCUGCUUUUGUGGGGUGCUCGAGUGGCGAACGGGUGAGUAACACGUGAGUAACCUGCCCUUGACUUUGGGAUAACUUCAGGAAACUGGGGCUAAUACCGGAUAGGAGCUCCUGCUGCAUGGUGGGGGUUGGAAAGUCUCGGCGGUUGGGGAUGGACUCGCGGCUUAUCAGCUUGUUGGUGGGGUAGUGGCUUACCAAGGCUUUGACGGGUAGCCGGCCUGAGAGGGUGACCGGCCACAUUGGGACUGAGAUACGGCCCAGACUCCUACGGGAGGCAGCGGUGGGGAAUAUUGCACAAUGGGCGGAAGCCUGAUGCAGCAACGCCGCGUGCGGGAUGACGGCCUUCGGGUUGUAAACCGCUUUCGCCUGUGACGAAGCGUGAGUGACGGUAAUGGGUAAAGAAGCACCGGCUAACUACGUG
rnacentral:rRNA from 1 species